AUACUUACCUGGCCGGGGAGAUACCAUGAUCACGAAGGUGGUUUUCCCAGGGCGAGGCUUAUCCAUUGCACUCCGGAUGUGCUGACCUCUGCGAAUUCUCCAAGUGUGGGAAACUCGACUGCAUCAUUUGUGGGAGUGGGGGACUGCGUUCAUGCUCUCCCCUG
rnacentral:snRNA from 1 species